UACGUAGGGUGCAAGCGUUGUCCGGAAUUAUUGGGCGUAAAGAGCUCGUAGGCGGUUUGUCGCGUCUGCCGUGAAAGUCCGGGGCUCAACUCCGGAUCUGCGGUGGGUACGGGCAGACUAGAGUGAUGUAGGGGAGACUGGAAUUCCUGGUGUAGCGGUGAAAUGCGCAGAUAUCAGGAGGAACACCGAUGGCGAAGGCAGGUCUCUGGGCAUUAACUGACGCUGAGGAGCGAAAGCGUGGGAAGCAAACAGG
rnacentral:rRNA from 1 species